rnacentral:lncRNA from 1 species
GUAUUUACUAUCUAUUAAUGGUUACAUUAAUGCUGAAGUGGUUUCUCAGGUGACACACACAUACAUCCUAGUAUUGCAUUAUUGGAGGGUCUUUUAUGUAACAAGUCAAGAUUUUGUUUGUUAACUAUUUCACUCUCUUCUUUCAUUGACAUGUCUACACAUAUAUAAAUCAUUAAAUUGGCUUAUUUUGAUUUUUGAAGUUUU